UUAAUUUCUGAGUUUGUCAUC
rnacentral:miRNA from 1 species